GACGUAGGUGGCGAACGUUAUCCGGAAUCAUUGGGCGUAAAGGGUGCGUAGAUGGCGUGAUAAGUUAUUAGUGGGAAAUCGAGGCUCAACCUCGUGGAAGCUAGUAAUACUGUUUUGCUUGAGUACAGAAGAGGUUAACGGAACUCCAUGUGGAGCGGUAAAAUGCGUAGAUAUAUGGAAGAACAUCAAUAACGGCGAAGGCAGUUAACUAUUCUGUUACUGACAUUGAGGCACGAAAGCGUGGGGAGCAAAACGG
rnacentral:rRNA from 1 species